UUCGACUCUUCCCUAUGAGAGACUGAUAUAGAGAGAGAACUGAGUUCUUGAGUCUCUGAUUCUCUGAAGUCUGAAAGUGAACUCCAUUAAUCAGUGAACACGGAACACCGAACAACACCUCUCGAUCCAGAAGAAGAAGGAGAAAAAGUCAGUGAUUUCAAUAAUUUGAUUUGUUUUCACAGGGUAAGUUAUCAAUCACGUCAGGGAGAAGACGAAGGGAAAGGACUCAAGGAAGAAGCACAAGGAAACCCAUUAAGUGAUGGAAAUAUGGCGCCAUUUCACUCGGAGAAAUGUUGAAGAAGCCACUUGCAAUUAUUGUGGAAGGACUUAUAGGGCUAACAUGUUCAGAAAUGGAACUUCUGCCUUGUGGAAGCACUUUAAAAGAUGCCCCAGCAAUCCUAAUCAUAACAGAGCUCACAUAAAUAAUGCUUAGAAUUUG